UACGUAGGGUGCAAGCGUUGUCCGGAAUUAUUGGGCGUAAAGAGCUUGUAGGCGGUUUGUCGCGUCUGCUGUGAAAUUUCGGGGCUCAACCCCGAACUUGCAGUGGGUACGGGCAGACUAGAGUGUGGUAGGGGAGACUGGAAUUCCUGGUGUAGCGGUGAAAUGCGCAGAUAUCAGGAGGAACACCGAUGGCGAAGGCAGGUCUCUGUGCCAUAACUGACGCUGAGAAGCGAAAGCAUGGGGAGCGAACAGG
rnacentral:rRNA from 1 species